rnacentral:rRNA from 1 species
UACGAAGGGAGCUAGCGUUGUUCGGAAUCACUGGGCGUAAAGCGCACGUAGGCGGAUGUGUCAGUCAGGGGUGAAAUCCCGGGGCUCAACCCCAAGCCUGCACUGGAUACUGUCGGGCUUGAGUACGGAAGAGGCGAGUGGAAUUCCUGGUGUAGCGGUGAAAUGCGCAGAUAUCAGGAGGAACACCAAUUGCGAAGGCAGCUCGCUGGGACGUUACUGACGCUGAGACGCGAAAGCGUGGGGAGCAAACAGG